AUUGCUUCUCGGCCUUUUGGCUAAGAUCAAGUGUAGUAUCUGUUCUUAUCAGGAUGUGCUUAUAAAACUCCUCUCUUUUUUUUUUGUAGGACUUCAU
rnacentral:snRNA from 1 species